rnacentral:lncRNA from 1 species
GCGGGUGUGGCGGAGUUUUAAAAACUCCUGGGAAUGUGUUGACAGUGAAGAAGCCGUCACUGCUUUGAUAUUAUUCACUAAAACACUGAGUGUGAAUUACCUCUUAAUUAACUGUCUUCAAAUCUUCGAAAGGAUGGAGGCGUGCAUGCCAGAAAUCAAAAAGAAACCAAAGCCGGUGAGAACAUUUACAUCUAAUACAAAUCACAGUCUGAAUACUCUCAAAAUACUGAUUCGUAGAGUGUAUUUAAAACAUCCAAACUCACCAUACACACAUGGAAAGCUAACCUACCGUAUCAUAUAUAUAUAUAUAUAUAUAUAUAUAUAUAUAUAUAUAUAUAUAUAUAUAUAUAUAUAUUACAAACAUCAGUUUUUCUUCUUUGUCCUCAGCCGAAGCCGUUCCCAAAGCCUACAGUGGUACAGUAAUAAUAAACCCAAAUCUUUAAUUAGCUAUGUGAGAAAGUUAAUCAUGUGUUUACUUGUUUUCUGAAGUGCAUGUGCUGUGACAUCAGCAGGUUUAAAAAAGAGAAGCAAAAAGACUGUAGGAUGGCUUCACGGUUCAGUAAACUGUCUUUACAGGUAAAAACAAAUGACCAAGAGAGACCGGAGAAACCAACUCCUCUGGUGCCUCAACGACCUGCAGACACGGAAAUGAACACCACAACCAGAUACAGCCAACGCAGGAGGAUACAGGCUGAGGACACACAGAGCCAAUCAGAAGUUCCCAAAAAUGAAACGGACUUCAAACAGAGCGAUCAGUCGGCCCUGACCGGAUUGUUUCGUCGGAGCCAAAAAGAGAAAACGCAUUCGUUCACUGUAAGAAAUGCACACGCAGCUCUUCUCUGCACAUUACUUAGCAGGUGUUCAAGUAUACGUUUACUUUAAUGCCUAUGAUAUUGAAUAGGUUUUUUGC